rnacentral:rRNA from 1 species
GUUGACCUCGGAUCAGGUAGGGAUACCCGCUGAACUUAAGCAUAUCAAUAAGCGGAGGAAAAGAAACCAACAGGGAUUGCCCCAGUAACGGCGAGUGAAGCGGCAAGAGCUCAAAUUUGAAAGCUGGCCCCCUCGGGGUCCGCAUUGUAAUUUGCAGAGGAUGCUUCGGGAGUGGCCCCCAUCUAAGUGCUCUGGAACGGGCCGUCAUAGAGGGUGAGAAUCCCGUAUGGGAUGGGGUGUCCGCGACCAUGUGAAGCUCCUUCGACGAGUCGAGUUGUUUGGGAAUGCAGCUCUAAAUGGGUGGUAAAUUUCAUCUAAAGCUAAAUAUUGGCCGGAGACCGAUAGCGCACAAGUAGAGUGAUCGAAAGAUGAAAAGCACUUUGAAAAGAGAGUUAAAAAGCACGUGAAAUUGUUGAAAGGGAAGCGCUUGCGACCAGACUCGCCUACGGGGUUCAGCCGGUAUUCGUACCGGUGUACUUCCCCGUGGGCGGGCCAGCGUCGGUUUGGGCGGCCGGUCAAAGGCCCUCGGAAUGUAACGCCUCUCGGGGCGUCUUAUAGCCGAGGGUGCCAUGCGGCCAGCCCGGACCGAGGAACGCGCUUCGGCACGGACGCUGGCAUAAU